GUUUGAUCAUGGCUCAGAUUGAACGCUGGCGGAAUGCUUUACACAUGCAAGUCGAACGGCAGCACGGGUGCUUGCACCUGGUGGCGAGUGGCGAACGGGUGAGUAAUAUAUCGGAACGUAUCCAAUAAUGGGGGAUAACGAGUCGAAAGAUUCGCUAAUACCGCAUACGCCCUGAGGGGGAAAGCAGGGGAUCUUCGGACCUUGCGUUAAUGGAGCGGCUGAUAUCUGAUUAGCUAGUUGGUGGGGUAAAGGCCCACCAAGGCUUCGAUCAGUAGCUGGUCUGAGAGGACGACCAGCCACACUGGAACUGAGACACGGUCCAGACUCCUACGGGAGGCAGCAGUGGGGAAUUUUGGACAAUGGGCGCAAGCCUGAUCCAGCCAUUCCGCGUGAGUGAAGAAGGCCUUCGGGUUGUAAAGCUCUUUCGCAAGGGAAGAAACGUUACGAGCGAAUACCUCGUGAUAAUGACGGUACCUUGAUAAGAAGCACCGGCUAACUACGUGCCAGCAGCCGCGGUAAUACGUAGGGUGCGAGCGUUAUCGGAAUUACUGGGCGUAAAGCGUGCGCAGGCGGUUUUGUAAGUCAGAUGUGAAAUCCC
rnacentral:rRNA from 1 species